UACGUAGGGGGCAAGCGUUGUCCGGAAUCAUUGGGCGUAAAGCGCGUGUAGGCGGCUCGGUAAGUCCGCUCUGAAAGCCCGGGGCUCAACCCCGGGAGGCGGGUGGAUACUGUCGAGCUCGAGUCCGGAAGAGGCAAGUGGAAUUCCCGGUGUAGCGGUGAAAUGCGCAGAUAUCGGGAGGAACACCAAUGGCGAAGGCAGCUUGCUGGGACGGUACUGACGCUGAGACGCGAAAGCGUGGGGAGCAAACAGG
rnacentral:rRNA from 1 species